rnacentral:lncRNA from 1 species
ACUGCUGGACUGAGGUGUGCCUCCUCAUAGACUCUGACGGCCCAGCCUCAUGGUCAGAAAUAAACUGAAUAUCUGGAGAUAUAGUCCUGUGAUCUUGGAGAGAUGAUGAUGGUCCUUCCUCCUCUGCUCUGUCCUCAGCUCUCUCUUUCACACCCUUUGUCCAACCACCAUCAGUCUUGAAAAAUCCCAUGCGGUGCAGAGUAUGGCGGUUGAUAG